ACGCUCGACACCUACUGGAGGCAGCAGUGGGGAAUAUUGCACAAUGGAGGAAACUCUGAUGCAGCGACGCCGCGUGAGCGAAGAAGUAUUUCGGUAUGUAAAGCUCUAUCAGCAGGGAAGAAAAGGACGGUACCUGACUAAGAAGCUCCGGCUAAAUACGUGCUAGCAGCCGCGGUAAUCUGAGGCGGGCUGGCAAGGC
rnacentral:rRNA from 1 species